CUAGCAUAUCAAUAAGCGGAGGAAAAGAAACCAACAGGGAUUGCCCUAGUAACGGCGAGUGAAGCGGCAACAGCUCAAAUUUGAAAUCUGGCGCAAGCCCGAGUUGUAAUUUGUAGAGGAUGCUUCUGGGUAGCGACCGAUCUAAGUUCCUUGGAACAGGACGUCAUAGAGGGUGAGAAUCCCGUAUGUGACCGGCCCGCACCCUUUACGUAGCUCCUUCGACGAGUCGAGUUGUUUGGGAAUGCAGCUCUAAAUGGGAGGUAAAUUUCUUCUAAAGCUAAAUACCGGCCAGAGACCGAUAGCGCACAAGUAGAGUGAUCGAAAGAUGAAAAGUACUUUGGAAAGAGAGUUAAAAAGCACGUGAAAUUGUUGAAAGGGAAGCGCCUGCAACCAGACUUCGCGGCAGUGUUCCGCCGGUCUUCUGACCGGUUCAUUCUCUGUCGCGAGGCCAUCAUCGUCUGGGCCCGCCGGAUAAGACCUGAGGAAUGUGGCUCCCCCUCGGGGGAGUGUUAUAGCCUCUGGUGAUGCGGCGUGGCUCGGGCGAGGUCCGCGCUUCGGCAAGGAUGAUGGCGUAAUGGUUGUCGGCGGCCCGUCUUGAAACACGGACCAAGGAGUCUAACAUCUAUGCGAGUGUUCGGGUGUCAAACCCCUACGCGUAAUGAAAGUGAACGGAGGUGGGAACCGCAAGGUGCACCAUCGACCGAUCCUGAUGUCCUCGGAUGGAUUUGAGUAAGAGCAUAGCUGUUGGGACCCGAAAGAUGGUGAACUAUGCCUGAAUAGGGUGAAGCCAGAGGAAACUCUGGUGGAGGCUCGCAGCGGUUCUGACGUGCAAAUCGAUCGUCAAAUUUGGGUAUAGGUGCGAAAGACUAAUCGA
rnacentral:rRNA from 1 species